AGAGUAUCUACAUUUAUAUGUAUCAUAUGUAGCUUAAUAGAGAAGUCGGUGUAACUCCGACACGGUCCCGCCGCUGUAAUAAUGAGCACACUUCACAAUGUCACUGGGUAACUGGGAAGGCGAAGUCAGCGUUGAAUUUAAGUCAGAAGAACUGCCUAUAAGAAGCAUUAUCG
rnacentral:ncRNA from 2 species